GCUGGUACUUGCACACACACACACACACACACUCACACACACUCACACACACGCACCCCUGCACGCUGGACGCACCUCUGCCCGGGGAGAGACACUGCCCACACUCCUGCGCGUUGCAUCUUCCUCCUCCUCGGGGACGAAGCGGAGCCAGGAGCAUCCCCGUCCUCAUCCUCGCCUCAGGGCUGCUCUGCCUCCCCCGGGGCUCUGGCUGCAGCGGCGGAGCUGGGGCACGGAGGAGCUCGGUGGGACCUGCUGCCCCAGGGCACGGAGCUCUGCAGGUGACCAAGCCCCACUGUGGGGCAGAGAGCCAAGCACCGGGGGUCCAGAGCAUCUGGAGCAUCCUGAGGUCCAGAGCAUCCCAGCAUCUGGAGCAUCCUGGAGUUCAGAGCAUUCCAGCACCCAGAAUAUCCUGGGAUCAAGCGCAUCCCUCUCACCUGGAGUAUUCUGGGGUUCACAGCAUCCCCAGCAUCUGGAGUAUCCUGGGAUCGAGAGCAUCCCUGUCUUCUGGAGCAUCCUGAGGUCCAGAGCAUCCCAGCACUCAGAGUAUUCUGAGGUCCAGAGCAUCCCAGCAUCUGGAGCAUCCAGAGCAUCCCGGGGUCCAAAUUAUUCCCUGGUCCAGCACAUCCAGAGCAUCAGAGCAUCCAGAGCAUCCCUGGCAUCUCAGGCAUCCCAGCAUCCAGAGCAUCCCAAGCCUCCCUGGUGUCCAGAGCAUCCCCAGCAUCCCGGAGCAGUGUCCAAGGGACAUCCCAGCUCAGGGGGGAUUUGCAGGGACAAGGAAAUGUGAGUAACGGGGAGGGGAACAGGGGAACCUUCCUACUGCUGAUCGGCUCCCGGGAAUGUCACUCUGCCCCGACGGCCAGUGAAGAGGGAGAGAGAGGGGGCAGAGAGGGAGAGGAGGAGGAGGAGGAGAGGAGGGAGGACGGACACAGGGCAGAGACAGAGAGAUGGUCCUUCAUCCCCCGGCGCUGGCUCUGGCGAUGAUCACCUAGCACAGGUCCCGGCCCAAGAAGGUCCCCCCAGCUCCAGAGCCAGCCCUGCCCCCCAGCUCCUCAUGGAGGGUGAUUUGGGGUCCCCCAACGCCAGCGUGCUGGGGGAGCGCUCGCUGCUGGUGGGGAGCAGCUGGGUGGCCGCUUUCCUCUGCUUCAUCAUCCUGCUGACCACCGCCGGCAACUUCCUCCUCAUCCUCCUCAUCGUCACCCAACGCUCCCUCCGCAACACCUCCAACUACUUCCUGGUGUCCCUCUUCAUGUCCGACCUGAUGGUGGGGCUGGUGGUCAUGCCCCCGGCCAUGCUCAACCAGCUCUACGGCCGUUGGGUGCUGCAGGGUGACUUCUGCUCCCUCUGGUACUCCUUCGACGUCAUGUGCUGCAGCGCCUCCAUCCUCAACCUCUGCGUCAUCAGCUUGGACCGGUACCUCCUCAUCAUCUCCCCCCUCAAAUACAAGCUGCGCAUGACCUCCUGCAGAGCCCUCUGGCUCAUCCUGGCCACUUGGACCUUGGCUGCUCUGGCCUCCUUCUUGCCCAUCAAGAUGGGCUGGCACGAGUUGGACUUUGAGGUCCGGUCCCCGAACGUCACCUCCCGGGGGGAGGAGGACCAGUGCCGGCUGCUGGUCAGCUUGCCCUACGCCUUGGUGGCCUCCUGCCUGACUUUCUUCCUCCCGUCCGCCGCCAUCUCCUUCACCUACUGCCGCAUCCUCCUGGCAGCCCGCAAGCAAGCGGUCCAGGUGGCUUCCCUCGCCUCCAACGUGGCCACCACCGCCACCGACGAGACCACACCACAGGUUCCCUGUGCCCCGAGCCAGCCCGUGGCCGGUGGAGAGAGCAGGAGAUUCGCCAACAAGCACAGCAAGAAGGCACUGAAGGCCAGCCUGACGCUGGGCAUCCUCCUGGGCAUGUUCUUCGUGGCCUGGCUCCCCUUCUUCGUCACCAACGUGACGCAGGCCGUCUGCGGCUGCGUCCCCGCCGGCUUCUUCGACGUGCUCACCUGGCUCGGCUACUGCAACAGCACCAUGAACCCCAUCAUCUACCCCCUCUUCAUGAGGGACUUCAAGAGGGCCAUGGGCAAAUACCUGCCCUGCUGCCGGCGCUCGGGGGAGCCCCGGCCCAGUGCCAUCUCCCUCUCCAUGAGGAACUCCAACAGCGGACCCCGCGCCGCCACGUCCCUCAAGAACGUCCUCACCUUGCAGGCGGAGACCGACUCGGUUGACUCCGGGGCGCUGGGCAAUGAACACAACCUGCUGCCCACCAGCGAUGGCCAACGGGUUCUCCCGGCCACUGGCACCCGCUUGGUCAACCUUUUUGACGUGGAGCCCCCAGAGACGGAGCUGCGGCUCGGAACCCCCGUGGCCUGAGCGAGGGUGUCCCCACGGGGGGGGUUACAGACCUCUGUGUGCUGGGAAGGAGCCCCCAGCCCCACACAAACUCUCCCGAGGGCCCGUUCGCCGCAAGGCGUCUCCCUGCCCAUGCAGAGCUCCUCGAGAACCCUCUCCAAACGCAACAUGCCAUCUCCUUGGAGAAGACGUCGUCACCGAGCACUCCCUGCGGGUAGAAGUUCUCCAGCCUGUAAGACAGCUGUAAACGUGACGAGGCCUACAAUACCAACGUCGCUGACAGAAAUACCGGCUGCGAAGCUCCUCGGAGUGCUCCUGAUUUAUAGACUUCAAAGCCGAAGGAGACAAGCUACAGCGGACUGAAGCUCAACAAAAUUGGGCCUGAAUCUGAUCUUGCAGGAGUUUUAUUCAAUGUAAUUCAUCUGACCUAAAUGGAGCUACUGCUGAAGUGACAGAACGAGGCCACAAUAUGUAUAAGCGAGAGACCAGAGAAAACAGAAUCAGGUGGGGUCUUACCACAAAAUGUUUGUAUAACCCUUCUCUUGUAUCUGAUAUCCUCACAUAAAUUCUCCAUAUCUCUGAGUUAUCCCCUCUACUAACAGAGUAACCCUCAAAUUCAGCAUCUGAGGGCAAUGGAGAGAACCAGCCUCGUGGAAUAUUUCCUGCCGGUCUCCUCAACCGCUUCUUCCUAUUUGUGAGCACCGAGCUACAAUUUCUACAUCAUUUUUCAUUUAACAUUCAAGCCAUGGGCUUGCCAAGGCAGAGACUAACCAAAUUACCCCAGACACAGAGGUACAAACACUCAUACUAUUUUAUUCCAACAGCAUAUGCAGGCUUUGAAACUAUAACGAGAUCAGGGUUGGGUUUGUUGGGUUUUUUUUAUAUUCUAGGAAAUGAAUACACUGAGCUUUUCUUGCAGUGAAAUUGAUUUUUGUAUAACACAGGAAGGAGUGAUAUUUGCCAGGGCAAAUUCAGUUACACGCAACAAUUGCUGUCAUUUAUGGCUUCUUGGAGGAACACAGAAGCACACCCAAAGAGGCAGCAAUUGCUGCUUCUUUAUGUCACGUGAAGAAAUACUGUAACUGGUGUGUGCAUCUGGCAUCCACAAAAACCUCCCGUGAUCCAAAAAGGACAAAAGCAACAAUUUUCAGCCUAACUGACAAAUGGGGCUAAUAAUUUGUUGGUUUAAUCCUGGAUGCUUUUAAUUCUUUUAUUUAGUUCUUUGUAAAUUAAUAUACUGUGUUAGGUGCAUAGUAAUAGAAUUCUUCCUCAUUUUAUACGUACGUACAUAUGGAAAGUACCAACAGUGUUUUUAACUGUCCCUGACCUGAGGGCUCGUGGCUUUAUAAAUGUCUUGAUUUGCAGUUACAUGCUCUUUGCUAAUCUUCCUGCCUGGUUAUUUCUCAAUUUAUUUUCCCAUGCUCUUAGUCUUCCCUGCUUCAUUCCUUCGUUUUAAUUGCCUCUCUCCUAAUUGUGCUGGUAAGCAGCGUUCUUGUCACAAUUAUCUUCCAAUACACAGUCAUUAGAUUUGAUACUGUCACUUGAAUUCUUAAUAGCUUUUAUAAGAUUGCUGCAGCUGUUUUGUGCCUCUCAAUCUCCCUCUUCUCACCCAGCAGCUCUCCCAACUCUGCAUCGCAGUUGCCUGUGCAGUUUUGAAAGGCUGAUAUCUGGUUUCAAGAAAUGCCACCGGCAUCUGGAUACAAAAGGCCUGCACGACUGGGCCGUGGAUUGCUUUUGUGUGAGACAUCCAAGUCCAAACCCAAAUCAGUCUCAGAUGUCCCAGGUCCCAGCUCCUUUCCUUCUGUGGCUUGUGCUGGAAUGUGCCUGUGAAGAGCUCCUUGGCAAUCUGCGCCGAACAUGCUGCUUUGCAUCUCGCAAACAGCUCAGCUUUCAUAAUUCAAUUAAGGAACUGAAAAAUUAGUGUACAGUGGGGAGCUGCCAUGAUACAUAAUUAUGAUGCUUAGAUUUCCUUAGAAUGGCAGCCAACCUUAAAGACCCCUAAUGAUUUCCUUUCACGUAUUACUUAGCUACGGGCCCACGUUAUUCCAGCGAGAGACUGCAGACCAUUAAAUAAAAGCCUGAAAAUAUCCCAGCCCCUGGCAUUCUUAGGACACAAAAAGAGUGGCCAGAUUAGGAUCUGGGUUCUGGCUUCAGUGUAACUCCAUUAGAAUCAUUCUGGAUUUGAUUAGAUUUAUUUUGAGAAGAGAAUUCCUGGAUUUGAGGACUUCCAUCUUCAAGCAGAAUUGAAGGUCUGCUACACAGCCGUCCACAGAAGAAAUGCUGACCUUCUCUGUCCUCACUUGACUCUAUUCCCACCUUCUUGGACUUUAUUGAACAUUUUCCUUUAUAAAGCUCCUUAUUUAUUAGCGACUCUCUGGGAGGCUAAACAGUUAAUGAAGUAAAUUAGAUACGUGGGGGGGGAGGGAGGCUGCAUGCACACACUCACUACUGACUCAACUCCAAGAUGCAAUUUACAUCAACUGAUCAUAAUGAUUUUAUUCUUUUACUAAAUUAAAAAUAGAAUCUAUUAAUAAACAGAACCACAACGGGUAAUAAAUUGACAGAUGGUUUUUUACUUGACUUUGGGGAAAAAUUACCAUGAAAAUAGCAGAUGACAGUGGCAUUUCAGUGACUUAAAUGGAAGGGAGGACUCAGGGAAGCAGAUACAAUAGCUACAGAGAGCUUCCAAGAAAGGCAAAGCAUCCUCUGCCAAGGUCCCAGUGGCACGUGGGCAGCUCCCAGAUGGAUCCAGCACUCGAAUGUCACAAAAUGUCAAGUUGUUGUUUACAGACAGGAGACCAAACUGACACAGGGGAGCACCUCGAGUGAGGACAGUGGAUUUAAUCCACUGAACUGACUGAAACAACAGAAGAAUUUGGCUCCAAAUGUGUUUCAAAACCACUUUUUUAAAGGUUUCUGUCCUAUCCUAAAAGACCCAAGCUCUCUUCCAGAAGAUCUCUUCCUCUUGGAAGAAAAACUUCUCUACCAGCAGUAAGGAAAAUAGAGGAGAAAAAAGUUAGAAGGUGAACUUUACCUUUUUCUUGAGCCAUCUCCUGCAGGCAGAAGUAAAUGACUCUUGCACCCAGACUGAAGCCAAUCAGUGAGACAGGUCGCUUGCCCUGAGGGAGAAGGAAAGGAGAAGACGCCAUCAAAUCCUGUUCUAGGCCUAGGAAGGAUUCCCCAAGCCCUUAUACGUAAAGCGCUUACUCUUGUGCACGAUCUUUGAGCAAUUUGGUUGAUUUGGAAGGGAUUAUGUAUCCUCAAAGUUAUGCACAGCUCAAUAUUGAGAAUUCUGCAUAUCCGAGUAUUUUGUAUUCUUUGACAUUCAGAAAAUCAGUCAAAAGAAUCUAACGAUCGGAAGUUACAACAAAGCAGAUGUUUCAAACAGAAACAAAACAGACACUGUCAUUGUUUUGAAAUUUCCAGACGAAGGCCUAAUGCAAGGAGCAACAUUUUCCUAGAAAUGUUUCAAUAAACAGAAGAAGCAGCUGUAACACGAAAAUAUCGGCCACUUCUAAACUUAAGACUGAAUGGCAGCGGCGCUGUGUGGCUGCUGCAAAAAAUGAUGGGAGGGGAUAAGCUUUUAUUUUGAGUAGCCUAAUAAGAUUUUCGAUAAGAUCAAAGGGAGCCUAAUCUCAACAGCAAUGAAAAAUGGUCUUUGCAUUAACCAGGGCAGCAGGUGUGUGAUGGACUCCCCAGACAUCACACUAACCAGGGUUAGACGCUCCAGCACGCUGGAAUGUGUGUUUUUACAAUAGCGAAUGCUAAAAAGGCAAGCAACAAAUGCCCCCAAGCAAAA